rnacentral:rRNA from 1 species
GAUGAACGCUAGCUACAGGCUUAACACAUGCAAGUCGAGGGGUAACGAGAGGGAAGCUUGCUUUCCUUGUCGACGACCGGCGCACGGGUGAGUAACGCGUAUCCAACCUGCCCCCAACUAGGGAAUAACCUUGCGAAAGUAAGACUAAUACCCUAUAAUUUCCUCAGAUGUCAUCUGACGAGGAGUAAAGAUUUAUCGGUUGUGGAUGGGGAUGCGUCUGAUUAGCUUGUUGGCGGGGUAACGGCCCACCAAGGCAACGAUCAGUAGGGGUUCUGAGAGGAAGGUCCCCCACAUUGGAACUGAGACACGGUCCAAACUCCUACGGGAGGCAGCAGUGAGGAAUAUUGGUCAAUGGGCGGAAGCCUGAACCAGCCAAGUAGCGUGCAGGAUGACGGCCCUAUGGGUUGUAAACUGCUUUUAUACAGGAAUAAAGUUAGCCACGUGUGGUUAUUUGUAGGUACUGUAUGAAUAAGGACCGGCUAAUUCCGUGCCAGCCGCCGCAGUAAAAC